UACGUAGGAUGCGAGCGUUAUCCGGAUUUAUUGGGUUUAAAGGGUGCGUAGGCGGCCUUAUAAGUCAUGGGUGAAAGUCAAGUGCUUAACAUUUGGAUUGCCUGUGAUACUGUAAGGCUUGGAUUCGGCGGAGGUAACUGGAAUGGUUGAUGUAGCGGUGAAAUGCAUAGAUAUCAGCUGGAACGCCAAUUGCGAAGGCAGGUUACUGUACCGAUAUUGACGCUGAGGCACGAGAGCGUGGGGAGCAAACAGG
rnacentral:rRNA from 1 species